CAGAAGAAGUCGAUAAAAGUCCCUUUCUUUCUAAAAAAAAAAGUCGUUAGGGGGUCUGAAAAGUCAUUGAAUCUAACAACAAAGUCGCUAGGUUUGCAACUACGUGUCCCAGACUGCAUCCCUGCUGAGAGUCCCUCCCUCGCUUCUCAUGUUGCAGGAAGAACGUAAGCGCCUGCCCCUUGUCAAUCAGUCACCAUAUAAUUUUGGAUUGGUUGUUGUGGUGAAGUUUUCCACCAAUAGGAGAGAUGUUGUGGUGUGUUUUUUUUUUCUUUUGGCAAGCCUUUUCCGCCUGUAAGAGCUGUCGCUAAUGUCUGCAUGCUAUGUUUUCCUGUGUCAUACAGCGCGAUCGAGCGCCGAACGUGAUCAAAAUAAGCAGAAAAAAAGUAUCGCGGACAUAAUUUAUCAUAACUCUGGUUUUAUUUGGCCUAUCAACACAAUUUAAAAACUGGUAUAUAGGUUGAGGUCCUCACUUUUGAGAUAAGUUGAAACGGAGAGUCAACGAGGCUCCGUCUUGCAGCUACAUCCGGUUAAAUAUGUCAUGUGACUUGAACGCACACACAGACACGCACACACACACACACACACACACACACACACACACACACACACACACUCAGAGUCUGGUUUUUAGCACCUGCAAAAACAUGCUAUUUACAUAUUUGACAAGAAUGCAGAGGCUCCUUUUGCCCCUGAAAAAAAUUAAAUUUCAAACACAACUUGACUGGUCAUUUCUCCAAAAGACAACCAUGAAGCUCCAUCCAAACCUGAAGCAGGCAGUUGGUGCAUGUGUACAGUAACCUGAGGGGAGUGAGGUGAGUGCUUCUGAGGAGAACAUGAGCAGUGAAGAUUCACCUUGAAGCUAGAACAGAGACGUGCACAUGAUUAUACAGGGGCAGGGGCUCAAGUUUUUUCCAGUCGUUUAUACAAUAUGGAAAUUAAUGUGAAAUUAAAACACAAAGUAUUAAUAGAAAGGUAAUGACUGUCCUGUGUAGGUGACAGUGAUAUCCAAUAGGCUAGGCACUCACGAGGCUGGCUGUGGCAAGUGUAAGUGAAAGCAACACGCACUGGCAAGAAGAACAGCAAACGCCGAUGAAGGAAAAGGGUCUUUGCAGUGAUGGGCGUUACCAGAGAGGGCGAUGGCCAGAGGACGCGAAUGGGACGGGGAGGCAGCGCGUUGGGGGGGGCAGCGCGACACGGCUCGGGCCCGCCAGUGCCCCAACGGGGCCCUAGUUCUUUGUUUCUUUCUUUCUUUUUUCUUUUUCCUCCCCUUUGAACUGGAAAAUGGCCCACUUCCCACUGGCAAAAACUCAUGAAAUUUGGCAGGACGACCGGGCCUGGUGAAAAAUUCGAUAUUCUGAAGUCGCCCAAACAAUAAAAUGCAAAAUGGCUCCAUAGCGCCCCCUAAGGUGGAAAUUCACACUAUUGACUGUCACGCCUGUACGCUUUGUCAUAUUGACACAAAAAUUGACACACAUAUGUAUCUUAAUAAGAUCUACAAAAAAGUCAGUGCGGCCGUAUCUGUCAAAAUUACGGUUAAAGGGUUAUUUCGCAUUUUUUGCCGAUCCGCACACAUUGGAAUUUCGCUAACUCCUCCGAAGGCUUUCGUUCCACCGGCACCACAUUUGCUCAGGCUAAUCUACACCCCGUGGCCAUUAAAAGUUAUCAAAAUCAUGACGCUGCACCCCAAGGUUUAGGUUCUAGGGGGCGCCAAAGAUAACACUAAAAUCCACAUAUUUAAAAGUCUUUUAACUUUUUAUUUUUGUCCUCACUGGCCUCCAAGUUUUCUAGGAUGAUGCAAUGUCCAGCCAUCAACACAUUUGUGAAGGAAUUUUUACUCCCCAAAAGAGCGCCCCCCCAUGGCAGAAGAAAAAAGUCCAUUUUUUCUUGUCCCCUAAGGUGAAAAUACACAUUGUUGAGUGUCACGCCUAUACGCUUUGUCAAAAUGACACAAAAAUUGACACACACAUGUAACUCAAUAAGAUCUACGAAAAAGUCAAUGCGCGCGUAUCUGUCAAAUGUACGGUUAAAGGGUUAUUCCGCAUUUUUUGCCGAUCCGCACACAUUGGAAUGUGGCUAACUCCUCCUAAGGCUUUCGUUCCACCGGCACCACAUUUGCUCAGGCCAAUCUACACCCCAUGGCCAUUAAAAGUUAUUCAAAUCAUGACGCUGCACCCCACGGUUUAGGUUCUAGGGGGCGCCAAAGAUAACCCUAAAAUCCACAUAUUUAAAAGUCUUAUAACUUUUUAUUUUUGUCCUCACUGGCCUCCAAGUUUUCUAGGAUGAUGCAAUGUCCAGCCAUCAACACAUUUGUGAAGGAAUUUUUACUCCCCAAAAGAGCGCCCCCCCAUGGCAGGAGAAA